rnacentral:lncRNA from 1 species
GAAAUCUCACUGUUUUUGAAAUUGCAGUUUGAGUCUGCCAGAAAUUUACAGCCAUUUGAAGGCAGACAUACUCAGAAAUGCAAUUUUGCAUUUAGUUUUCUCAUGAUAUGUCCUGUAGCAUCAGAAAAAUGCCACAUGAACAUGUAGACAACAAGAAAAACAUGAUUUUCAUCGGAGUAGGUCUUCAACCCAUUGUGCUAAUUAAGUGUACAUAAACACCUAUACACCAGGGAAAAGAAAUUGUGCAUUUGUCUUGUCAUUAAGUCUGUACUUAUGAGUUUUAUCAGCCUUGCCUACUCAUUUGAAAUGAGUAAAAUGCAGACACUGUUGAGAUAUAAACACUAACAUAUAAAAAAAGUGUGAAAGCCAAGAACAUUUACAGCUGAACAGGUGUGUUUGAAGACUGAAUAAUUAAAGCACAUCUGGUUUCACCCUGUAGAAAGUAAAGUUUUGUUUCAUUUGAUAUCAUUGUGAAAAUAACAGCUGAUGUAAAAAGCCUCCAGCUCAUGUUGCACAAGCAGACCUUUACCAGACCUUUACCAGCAAACGUAGGUCCCUAAUCGUGGUUGGAAAGUGUCUGCCGACAGUCCCUUUGAAGGCUGUUUCAAGUUUUGACAGUGUGUAUGACUCAGAUCAGAACAGAGAAGAUUAUUGCAUCAAAUGGUUAUACAACUCCAGUGUUGCAAAAAAAGGAGGCAGUAGGGAGAGAGAGAGAGUGAGAGAGAGCAAGAGAGAGAGAGAGAAAAGGAGAGGGAGAAUGUCAGAGAGAAAAAGAGAGAGUGUGUAUGUCAUUUUGGCAGCUGCUGCCAGAUUUUUGUGAACCCUUGCUGCCAGCUACAGCUAUUACCAAGGGCCCAUGUCAUACUUCUGACUGAUCAUUAUGAGGCCCAGCUAUCCUCCUCUGCAUGCUGUGGCUACCCAUCUCUGUCAAAUCAUGAUUAAUAAUGCAGCAGUUAGAAAAGCCAUGAUCUUCCAUUACUACAUGCAUGCAUGCAUAUGCAUGCACACUGAGCAGUGGAAAGUUUAAUAGGUAAUUAAUCUGUGGGUAAUUGCUCUAGCUGUCAUGGGCAUUAGGAGUUCUCCAGCCUGUCUUGUUAAUGGUUUGAAAAAUAUAAGUCUGUAUUAUUCAGGUCUACCUCUUUUAUCUUCUUUAUAUCGUUCUUUUUUUCCAGCAUGGGUUGACUUUAAUGGGUGUUUAAUUGUGUGACUAUUUAGUAUUUUUAUAAGCCCACAGAUGGCUCAAGCUUUUUUUAUGCAUCAUAUAACAUAGAACGACAUGUGGAAAAACUUUUUAUUUCCAAAAUAUCGUCUCACAUUUUGAUUGAUACUUCAACUUGUAAUAAUUUCUCAUGCCAUAUAAUUUGCCAGCGGUUCUGUCCUCAGCCUAAAAUAUCUACAAACUUACCUGUCUGCAGUCAGUUUAAUGAUUAUAAUAUGAAGCUAUGUCAGGAGGCAAUUGGGAACUUUAGUGUACCUGAUCUCAUUAAUUAUUGCUCCUAGUUCAUAAAGCUCAUCUGGCCCAAACCAUUGAUUGUUAUCGAAAUAAUCACUUUAUUGUUUAAGCUGUUUUAUGGGGUUUAAUGCACCAUGUAAUCACCCAGACGGUUUCAGAGGGCCUCACUGCUCUGUUUUCAGUUUGAGCAGGCCAGUGAUGAAGCCGAGACUCAGACUAUGAGAAGAUGAUAGGCGGCUCAGAAGAUCACAAAAGUAUGUUACGCCGUAUUUUGUAAAGACUCUCACAGUUGCAGUAUCAUUACGAAGGCUUUAGGCAGCUGCUGAAGCGUGCCGUAUAAUCCUCACCUUUAAUUACAGAAAGUGUUUAAUUGGGAGGAAAAACAUGGAUCUUUAAGUGUGUAGUUUAUUCAUCAAAGAGGACAACCACCAUCCACAAUCAGGUCUACAAAUGUCUCCCCUUGACCUCCCCUCCUGUGCCUGUAGCUGGACCUGUACUAUUGUUAUUACCAUUACUAUAUAUGGCUCAUGUGCUGUAAAAGCUGAUUCAUGAGGAAAACAACUCAACUUUAUUAACUGAACAUUCAGCUGAUGAAGGGGCAGAAAGACAAACAGAAAAGAGAAAAGAGGGAUGAGGAAGCACGGGUAGGAACUAAGAAGGGUAAAAUGAUCACAUUAAGGAAGCUAGUUAUACACAGCACACCCACUGCUG